rnacentral:rRNA from 1 species
AUUGAACGCUGGCGGCAGGCCUAACACAUGCAAGUCGAGCGGUAGAGAGAAGCUUGCUUCUCUUGAGAGCGGCGGACGGGUGAGUAAUGCCUAGGAAUCUGCCUGGUAGUGGGGGAUAACGUUCGGAAACGGACGCUAAUACCGCAUACGUCCUACGGGAGAAAGCAGGGGACCUUCGGGCCUUGCGCUAUCAGAUGAGCCUAGGUCGGAUUAGCUAGUUGGUGAGGUAAUGGCUCACCAAGGCGACGAUCCGUAACUGGUCUGAGAGGAUGAUCAGUCACACUGGAACUGAGACACGGUCCAGACUCCUACGGGAGGCAGCAGUGGGGAAUAUUGGACAAUGGGCGAAAGCCUGAUCCAGCCAUGCCGCGUGUGUGAAGAAGGUCUUCGGAUUGUAAAGCACUUUAAGUUGGGAGGAAGGGCAGUUACCUAAUACGUGAUUGUUUUGACGUUACCGACAGAAUAAGCAC